ensembl:lncRNA LINC01585 long intergenic non-protein coding RNA 1585
CAGCUUUUCUAGCCUCCAGGCUUUCUCCCGGGUUCCUAAGUCUGUAUGUGCUCACUGGAAAUGCCCCAUGACUUGGGGUGACAUGGAAAAAAUUCAAACUUAGAUGAUUUCCGAAGAUCUUAAUAAUCAGGACAACCGUGAACUUCUCAUGCAACCGUCAAUGCCUGAGACAAUGGAGUGAAAGCUACCAGAUCCUUAAGAGAAAAGUGUCCCCCAGGACUCUUAAAGCCACCAGCCCUGAUGUUGGCCACGGGAAAAGACAAUCAAGGAAAAUCUCCGACCUUCGGUGAAAUGCAGAGACUAAGGGACCCCUGUGCUGCGUGUGAUGCGAUUUUGAGAGAAAAAAAAAAAAAAAGGCCAGGUGUGGUGGCUCACGCCUGUAAUCCCAGCACUUUGGGAGGCCCAGACAGGAGGAUCC